UCUGCCGAACAGAGAUUAUCUGUGGAAUGCCGACGGCGAUUUAAAUUUACGCGGUGGCUAGGAAAAAGGAAACUUCAUUCAAGACUCAUAGAUCAGGAAGUAUAAUUAAAACUCUGAGUAUGUCCUUGUUAAGAAUGGACGAUACUGGUGGUGCAGUUUAUAUCACUGACACUACUGCAGAGGAAUUAGUUACGAAGUUCAUGUAUCCGGAAAAGGCAGUCGCUAAAAGGAAAUCUUCAAUAUUCACCAGAAGAAGUUCUGUUGCUUUCAUGGAUAAGGAAGACCCGUGUGAUAGUUCAUCUGAUGCUCCAAGCGAUAACUAUCCGGUGGGAUUUGAAGCCUAUGUUGAAAUCCUCAAAAAUGAAAUCAGUGACUGGAAAGUAAUGUACAAGCAAAGAAGAGAGACUCGGAAGAAAGCUAUAAAACAGUUUCAUACGAGAAAGAUCGUAAAUCAAGGUGUAUUUGAUGCUUUAACAGAAGAAGAUAAAAUAUUUCUUGCAAGUAAACCAAACUACGAUAGGACGGGAAAAGACGCAUUGGCAGCCCUAGAGUGGCUGCCAGUUUCCGUCGAGAGAGCGAGAAACGUUGAAAGGUCGAUUUCGGAUCUUGUAGCGCAAGUUGAGUUAAUAGGGGGUAUUUUGAAAAAGCGAAUAGUUGAAGAAUCAGUCAUCCAAUGAAAUCUGGAAGUAUUUUCUCAUCCGAUAUUGGUGUAUUAUGAAAGAGAAUAUUCUCGUAAGGAGCGGUAAAUUACUUUGGUGGAACUCUCAACGUUUAGAGGCCAAGUCAUUUGUGAUUCUUUGGGAGUGUUAGUGAGUGUUGGUUAUUUAGAGCUGUUAAUGUUUCUCGUUUUCCGAUCGUGUGAAAUUUUGACAACCCUCUGUUAUAUACUGUUCUGACGUAACUAUGUUAAAUGUUUCGUUUUCGUUGUAAAAUAUAACCCAAAUGGCUGUUA